GGGGGCGAUCUGGUUUCGACGUGGUCGAUUCUCCGGCUGAGCUGCAAGCCGAGGUCCCGGAGGCCUCGUAAAAAACCGGGAAACAACGCAAGUGCGGAUAACGAACUCGCACUCGCCGCCUAACCCAGUUAGGUGACGCGUCGCUCCGACCUCGGCCCGUGGGCCGGUAGCGGCGUCAGAAACGGGCUCGGCGCCAAGGGAGAGCCACUCGCCCGCGGCGCGACAUCUCAGGAGGGCUGGCCCGGCGGUAGGUCGGUUGCGCACCGGCCGUCCGGGCGAGAUUGCAAGCGCAGCCUAAGCUUGUAGACGCUCUGUCCGGUGCGUCCGCGGACGCGGGUUCGAUUCCCGCCGCCUCCAUAG
rnacentral:tmRNA from 1 species